ensembl:lncRNA
GAGGGAGAGAGGAAGGGGGAGGGGGGAAAUGGGAAGGAGGAGGAGCGGCUGAGUUGAGAUAGAGAGAGAGAGGGGAGAGGCACAGAGGGAUCGGUCUGUGAGCCCAGCUCAACGACAGAGUGGGAGGUUGAAAAGAGUGUGGAGAGAAAAAUAGUCAAGGUCCUUAUUCUCUGUCGGGCGUGGAGAAAAGAGACAAGGAAUAUACACACAUUCCUUUUGAGAGAGAGAGUGAAGGAAGGAGUGAUAGAAGAGAAGAGGACUAGAUAGAUCUACUACAUCAAAGAACGAGCUACUCAGUGGACGUUGGCGGCUUUGCUGUCACAGGAAAGGGAGGAGGGGAGGGGGGGAACAAGGGAUCAUGCUGGUCACGGAGGGACGGAGGAGUGUGUGUGCGAGGGUGUAUCUUGGUGUCUGCUUCGUGCUGGAGGAGUGUGUUUGAGGAAGAGAAUUCCGGCGAUUCAGUGCCAUGCUAUGGACUAGGAGCCAGCUGGAGUCUUGCUGAAGACAUGGCCCAGGAAUGUUGGCGCAAUGAGACAAUUCUGUUCAUACUACCAUGCUUCAAGGGGGGCAACAGUCCGGCGCUACCUCCGGAUGUAGCGGUCGAGAUGUAGUAAGUAAGCAAGUUUACAUUUGAGUAAUAUCACAGAUUAUCCAUUAUAUUGACCAGAUACUCUAGUGGCCCAACCUAGUGGCCGCUCUAACAAUGGGAAUAACCGUCUAAAAAUGGGAUGUCUGCAAUAUGUAACUUUUUGGGAGACCCGACCAAAUUCACAUAGAAAUAUGUGUUAUAGAUCUGUCAUUCUCAUUGAAAGCAAGUGUAAGAAGAGGUAGAUAUUCUAUGUGGCUUUUUCUAUGCUUACCGUUCUUAAGUUUCGUUUUUGCUUCUUUUACUUUCGGUUUUGUACUGCAGCUUCCAACAGCUGAAAAUACAGUAUUUUUGGUUAUCGGAAAAUAUACUGUAUCUCACAGCUGUUUAGAUGUACAAUGAUUCUCUACACUAUACUUGCUUGUUUUGUCACAUAAACUGAAAUUAGGCAAACUUUUAGAAUUUCAGCAACCAGGAAAUGGUGGAGCGAUUUCUGCAUAGUGUAUCUUUAAGUAUAUUUAAAACCUAAUACUUUUAGAUUUUUACUCAAGUAGUAUUUUACUGGGUGACUUUCACUUUUACUUGAGUCAUUUUCUAUUAAGGUAUCUUUAAUUUUACUCAAGUAUAAUUUUUUUCAUCACUUCUAUUAUGGAUAGCCUAUAAAAUGGUACACUGUUAUGGAUGGGUUUAAAAAGGUAGCGAAGUACAAUACCUCAUUCAAAACAUAGAGUACUUAAGUAAAAGUAAAAUUACUGACUUGAAAAAAUACAACAACAAAGUAGAGUGAAUUCGGAAAGAGUGGGACCUGAUAUAAACUCGGACAGCUUAAUUCUGACAUUUUUAUUUCUUGGUCUGUCAAGUCAAAAUCUAAAUUAUUGUUACUAGGCCCUUGCAGAGAAAUCACAUUAUUAAAAUCACAUCACUUCAUUGGUGUGACAUCGUUGGCAGAGAAAGCUUCAAACAGGAAGUUCACCCUGCAAAGCACACAGUAAGAUCAGUGACAUAGCUUUUUUUCAGUUUUGAUGUCAAUGUUAUAAAA